rnacentral:rRNA from 1 species
UACGGAGGGUGCAAGCGUUGUUCGGAAUUAUUGGGCGUAAAGCGCGCGCAGGCGGCCUGCCAAGUCUGGUGUGAAAUCCCGGGGCUCAACCCCGGAAUGGCACUGGAAACUGGUGGGCUUGAGUCCGAGAGGGGUAUGUGGAAUUCCUGGUGUAGGAGUGAAAUCCGUAGAGAUCAGGAGGAACACCGGUGGCGAAGGCGACAUACUGGAUCGGAACUGACGCUGAGGCGCGAAAGCGUGGGGAGCAAACAGG